CCUCUUCAUCCGCUUCUCCUGCCGGAUCCCCCUUCCUCGUUCUUCAUCUGCUUCUCCUGCCGGAUCCCCCUUCCUCGUUCUUCACCUGCUUCUUCCUCCGGGGAUCCUACUCCGGCAAUACACCGCCGCCCCUCGUGGCUAGUGUCUCCGUCGGCUUCUAGGGUUCCUUCAAGGUCUGCGGCGUCAAGGCUCCCGUGAAGGUCUGCGUCUUCUAGGGUUUCAUCAAGCUCGGCCUCGAAUUGGGCUUUGUCAAGUUCGUCGUCUUGAAGGUACACAAGACCGGCUGCUUGAGAGCAUAUGACUCUAACCAGUUGAGCUAGUGACCUUUAAUGAUUACAGCACAACACAACACCUCAAGAAACUCAAACGCCGAUCCGAAUGCUUUCAAUUCUAACACAAUUUCUUUCGACAAUAAAACGGGAACAAUUUUCAAAUUUGUUCAGCAUUUUGAGAAAACUCAAACAUAUUUAAACAUGCAAAUGAAUUUUGGAGAAGCGAACAUUUUUUAAAAACAGAACAUUUUUUAAACUAGUCAAAAAACUGAACAGGAACAAUUCCUAAAAAACAGGAACAUUUUUCAAAUUCCAAAACAAAAUUUGGAAACAUGAACAACUUUUGCACGCGAACAAAUUUGGAAUUUCCCAAACAUUUUUGAGAACAUGUAGGUUUUGGAAUUUGGGAACAAUUUUCUAAACUAUGAACGAAUUUUGAAUCUUGAGAACAAAUUUUGAAGCACGAACAUUUUUUGCAUUUUAAGAACAAAUUUUAAACUGAGAAUAAUUUUUUAAAAAUCCUGAACAAAUUUGGAAGCGUGAAUUUUUUUGAGUACGUGAACAAAAAAUAGAAAUCCGGUACAUUUUCUGAAUUUCAAAAGUUUUGAACAAUUUUGUGUAAUGAGAACAUUUUUUGAAUUUUAAGAACAUUUUUUCGAAAACUGAACAUUUUUUGAAAACAUGAACGUUUUGGAAUUUGUGAACAAUUUUUUAAAGCACAAACAUUUUUUGAAUCCUGAGAACAAAUUUCAAAGCACGAACAAAUUUUUAAAGCAUGAAUUGUUUUUGAAUCUUGAGAACAAUUUUUGAAACGGAGAACAAUUUUGAAAAAUCCCUAACAAAUUUGGAAGCGGGAAUUUUUUAGAAUACAUAAACAAAGAAUUGAAAUCCGGUACUUUUCUGAAUUUCAAAAGUUUUGAACUUUUUUGUGUAAUGAGAACAAUUUUAUAAUUUUGAGAACAUUUUUUUGAGAACUGAAUUUUUCUUGGAAACAUGAACAAAACUUGAAUAUUUUGAAAAAUAAAAUAAAAUAAGAGUAGAAAAUAAAAAGAAAUAAAAAACCAAAUAAAGAAAAUUUGUUGAAAAGAGAAAUUAACUUGAAAAGGAAAACUGAAAGAAAACAAAAAAAUAAGGAAAAGAAAAGGAAAAAAAACAGAAAAAGGAAGAAGAAAAAACAGAAAAGAGUAAAAAAAAGGGAAAAAAACGGUUCAGGAACUUUCUAGAUGAUUCCCAAAACCAGUAAGAACCAGCUAGCAACGCUCUAGAAGGCGCCACGGUAGAACCAGAUCAAAGAAACAGAAACAUCCUCGACGAAACAGUAGAAACAAAGAUCCGCGCGGGAAAGAAGGGUCGCGGCCCAGAAAGCCCGCGAACGAACUCCCCUGUGCGAACUCUCGUCUAGUUGACGCAGACUGCGGCGUAUAGGAACUCCCAGUCGGCGCUACUAAAUACGCGGAAUAGAAGGUCCCAGUUUUAACCACAUACCAUCCAUGCCUGCGGGUACCUGGCCCAUUUGGCAGGGUUGGAUACGUUCACUCGCAGUUGGUUGAACCAGACCAGGCCAUCUGGGCCGUGCUACGCGGGCCGAGCCAAAAGAACGCAUUGUUAUACGUUGGUACUCUUUUAUUUCUUUCUUAUUUUUCUUCAUUUUCUUUGGGUUUUUUGCUUACCUUUUUUUGUCGGUUUUUAUUAUUUUCUUCCUUUACACACACGUCUUCUUAUUUCUCAG